AGUGAGAUUGCUGGGUCAUAUGGUAAGCAUAUGUUUCACUUUAUAAAAUUUUCCAAGCUAUUUUCUAAAGUGACUGUACCAUUUUAUCUUCCCUCCAGCAAU
rnacentral:pre_miRNA from 1 species